CCCUUAGAUGUCCGGGGCCGCACGCGCGCUACACUGAAGGAAUCAGCGUGGCUUUCUCCCUGACCCGAAAGGGUUGGGAAACCCGUUGAAUCUCCUUCGUGAUAGGGAUUGGGGCUUGAAAUUGUUCCCCAUGAACGAGGAAUUCCCAGUAAGCGCGAGUCAUAAGCUCGCGUUGAUUACGUCCCUGCCCUUUGUACACACCGCCCGUCGCUACUACCGAUUGAAUGGCUUAGUGAGAUUUCCGGAUCGGCGUUGGGGAGCCGGCAACGGCACCCCUUGGCUGAGAAGUUACUCAAACUUGGUCAUUUAGAGGAAGUAAAAGUCAUAACA
rnacentral:rRNA from 1 species